rnacentral:rRNA from 1 species
CGCGUAGGCGGCAUGCCAAGCGUGUGGUGAAAGCCCGGGGCUCAACCCCGGGUCGGCCGUGCGGACUGGCGUGCUCGAGCACUGUAGGGGCGGGUGGAAUUCCGGGUGUAGCGGUGGAAUGCGUAGAGAUCCGGAAGAACACCGGUGGCGAAGGCGGCCCGCUGGGCAGGAAGGCUCGCAAGAGCCGGCUGACGCUGAUGCGCGACAGCGUGGGGAGCGAACA